rnacentral:rRNA from 1 species
UACGUAGGGGGCUAGCGUUGUCCGGAUUUAUUGGGCGUAAAGAGCGUGUAGGCGGCCAUGUAGGUCCGGUGUGAAAACUCGAGGCUUAACCUCGAGAUGUCAUCGGAAACCAUUUGGCUAGAGUCCGGAAGAGGAGAGUGGAAUUCCUGGUGUAGCGGUGAAAUGCGCAGAUAUCAGGAAGAACACCGGUGGCGAAGGCGGCUCUCUGGAACGGUACUGACGCUGAGACGCGAAAGCGUGGGGAGCGAACAGG